GUCCAGGGGCGGGAACCGAACCCACAACCUUCCGCUUACCGGGCAGAUGCCAUGUCCACUAGGCUACCCUGGA
rnacentral:tRNA from 1 species